CCUACGUGUGGCAGCAGUGAGGAAUAUUGGUCAAUGGCCGUAAGGCUGAACCAGCCAAGUAGCGUGAGGGAAGACUGCCCUAUGGGUUGUAAACCUCUUUUAUGCGGGGAUAAAGGUGUCCACGUGUGGAUGUUUGCAGGUACUGUAUGAAUAAGGACCGGCUAAUUCCGUGCCAGCAGCCGCGGUAAUACGGAAGGUCCGGGCGUUAUCCGGAUUUAUUGGGUUUAAAGGGAGCGUAGGCCGGUCUUUAAGUGUGCCGUGAAAUUUUGUGGCUCAACCAUGAGAGUGCGGCGCGAACUGGCAGCCUUGAGUACACUGGAGGCAGGCGGAAUUCGUGGUGUAGCGGUGAAAUGCUUAGAUAUCACGAAGAACCCCGAUUGCGAAGGCAGCCUGCCGCAGCGUUACUGACACUGAAGCUCGAAAGCGCGGGUAUCGAACAGGAUUAGAUACCCUUGUAGUC
rnacentral:rRNA from 1 species